rnacentral:rRNA from 1 species
GUCUUGUAAUUGGAAUGAUGGUGACCUAAACCCUCACCAGAGUAGCAAUUGGAGGGCAAGUCUGGUGCCAGCAGCCGCGGUAAUUCCAGCUCCAAUAGCGUAUAUUAAACUUGUUGCAGUUAAAAAGCUCGUAGUUGUAUUUCUGCGUCUCCGUUUUUGACUCUUGUCUUUUUCGGUUUCGCUUUUGGGUUUCUUCCCUUUUUACUUUGAGAAAAUUAGAGUGUUUCAAGCAGACUUUUGUCUUGAAUACUUCAGCAUGGAAUAAUAAAGUAGGACUUUGGUUCUAUUUUGUUGGUUUACGAACCUUAGUAAUGGUUAAUAGGAACGGUUGGGGGCAUUCGUAUUUAACUGUCAGAGGUGAAAUUCUUAGAUUUGUUAAAGACGAACUACUGCGAAAGCAUUUGCCAAGGACGUUUCCAUUAAUCAAGAACGAAAGUUAGGGGAUCGAAGACGAUCAGAUACCGUCGUAGUCCUAACCAUAAACUA